rnacentral:rRNA from 1 species
AACGAACGCUGGCGGCAUGCCUAACACAUGCAAGUCGAACGAGACCUUUGGGUCUAGUGGCGCACGGGUGCGUAACGCGUGGGAAUCUGCCCUUGGGUUCGGAAUAACAGUGAGAAAUUGCUGCUAAUACCGGAUGAUGUCUUCGGACCAAAGAUUUAUCGCCCAGGGAUGGGCCCGCGUAGGAUUAGCUAGUUGGUGGGGUAAUGGCCUACCAAGGCGACGAUCCUUAGCUGGUCUGAGAGGAUGAUCAGCCACACUGGGACUGAGACACGGCCCAGACUCCUACGGGAGGCAGCAGUGGGGAAUAUUGGACAAUGGGCGCAAGCCUGAUCCAGCAAUGCCGCGUGAGUGAUGAAGGCCUUAGGGUUGUAAAGCUCUUUUACCAGGGAUGAUAAUGACAGUACCUGGAGAAUAAGCUCCGGCUAACUCCGUG